rnacentral:misc_RNA from 1 species
GAUGAAGAACGUAGCGAAAUGCGAUAAGUAAUGUGAAUUGCAGAAUUCAGUGAAUCAUCGAAUCUUUGAGCGCACAUUGCGCCCGCCAGUAUUCUGGCGGGCAUGCCUGUUCGAGCGUCAUUACAACCCUCAGGCCCCCGGGCCUGGCGUUGGGGAUCGGCGGAGCCCCCCGUGGGCACACGCCGUCCCCCAAAUGCAGUGGCGGUCCCGCCGCAGCUUCCAUCGCGUAGUAGCUAACACCUCGCGACUGGAGAGCGGCGCGGCCACGCCGUAAAACACCCAACUCUUCUGAAGUUGACCUCGAAUCAGGUAGGAAUACCCGCUGAACUUAAGCAUAUCAAUAAGCGGAGGA